AGAGGGGGCAAGCGUUGUUCGGAAUUACUGGGCGUAAAGGGCGCGUAGGCGGCCCACUAAGUCGAACGUGAAAUCCCUGGGCUCAACCCAGGAACUGCGUCCGAGACUGGAGGGCUAGAAUCCGGGAGAGGGAUGUGGAAUUCCAGGUGUAGCGGUGAAAUGCGUAGAUAUCUGGAGGAACAUCGGUGGCGAAGGCGGCAUCCUGGACCGGUAUUGACGCUGAGGCGCGAAAGCCAGGGGAGCAAACGGGAUUAGAUACCCCGGUAGUCCUGGCCCUAAACGAUGAAUGCUUGGUGUGGCGGGUAUCGAUCCCUGCCGUGCCGAAGCUAACGCAUUAAGCAUUCCGCCUGGGGAGUACGGUCGCAAGGCUG
rnacentral:rRNA from 1 species